rnacentral:rRNA from 1 species
CCCUUAGAUGUCCUGGGCCGCACGCGCGCUACACUGAUGCAUUCAACGAGUAUUUCCUUGGCCGAGAGGCCUGGGCAAUCUUUUAAACCUGCAUCGUGAUAGGGAUAGAUUAUUGCAAUUAUUAAUCUUCAACGAGGAAUGCCUAGUAGGCGCAAGUCAUCAGCUUGCGUCGAUUACGUCCCUGCCCUUUGUACACACCGCCCGUCGCUCCUACCGAUUGGGUGUGCUGGUGAAAUGUUCGGAUCGGCCGUUUGUCGCGGUUUCCGCGUCAUGUGGCUGAGAAGUUCAUUAAACCCUCCCACCUAGAGGAAGGAGAAGUCGUAACA